AGUCGAAACACCCCCUUCGUGGGGUGUCUGCGGGAGUUGGCCUACCCGUACUGAGGUGACAGGCCAAG
rnacentral:hammerhead_ribozyme from 1 species